ACGGGAGGCAGCAGUGGGGAAUAUUGGGCAAUGGGGGAAACCCUGACCCAGCGACGCCGCGUGAGGGAAGAAGGUCUUCGGAUUGUAAACCUUAAUUCAACAGGGAAGAGAGAGAGACGGUACCUGGAGGGAAGCCACGGCUAACUACGUGCCAGCAGCCGCGGUAAUACGUAGGUGGCGAGCGUUAUCCGGAUUUAUUGGGUAUAAAGGGUGUGUAGGCGGGUUCGCAAGUCAGAUGUGAAAAUUAUGGGCUUAACCCAUAAACUGCAUUUGAAACUGUGGAUCUUGAGAGUCGGAGAGGUAAACGGAAUUCCCAGUGUAGCGGUGAAAUGCGUAGAUAUUGGGAGGAACACCAGUGGCGAAGGCGGUUUACUGGACGACAACUGACGCUGAGACACGAAAGCGUGGGGAGCAAACAGGAUUAGAUACCCUGGUA
rnacentral:rRNA from 1 species